AAAACAGCAUCCUUAGGACCUCUUUCCAAACCCCUGCCUCAGCAUAGAGGAGCUCUCUGACAUUGCCACCAACUUCAGCAAGUUGGAAAAGAGAAGGCAGGCCAUGACCCAAGUGACCUUAUGUCACUCCUAAACUCAUGGCUUGAGUCCCUCCUACCAAAAAAUCUGCACUUUGAUCACACACCCACAGCGACCCAGAUCUUUAAAUUCAGCAAUUCUUUCUCGGGUUUCAGCAAGGCAUUGGCAGUCUGAGCUAUUUUGGGACAUUCUCUCUGCUGUGGAUGCCACUUUUGGAAUACGCCAGGAACAUGCUAAGGACCUGGAGCUCUCUACCCUGGACCCGAUUUUGGGUUUGCUUGCUUUCUCUCUCCUUCUCUGGGCUAAUCAUUUGGAGGACAGUCACUCCUGCCAACCUAAUCCCAGGAGCCUGACUACCUUGCCGGGCCACAGGCUCAAAGAGGCAGUGUGACUGCCAGCACACCCUCACGGUAAGGGGCACGGAGGCACCAGGCAGUCUGGCAGGAUGAGAGAGGUCCUGGGGGUGGUCUGAGUUUGGAUGUGGGCUGAGAAGAAAAACUAGGGGGCUUUCAGGGGACAAGAUUUUCCAAACAUCUUAUUCUUACGAUCAUCACUUCCUAAUCUGAUGCAACUGACUCGGCAGGCAUUCGGGAGCCUGUAAGCUCCAUUUUCCUGUUCCAAAUUCUUCUGCACCUCACCAGGAGUCCUCACAUUGACCCUAAUCAACUUGGGACUCUCUGCGAAGUACUUGGAAAGGAAAAGGAAGAUGGUGGCUACCCUGACAUGAUGACCACCCACCCAAGCUCCAGG